AUUGAACGCUGGCGGCAGGCCUAACCCAUGCAAGUCGAACGAGCGGCGGACGGGUGAGUAAUGUCUGGGAAACUGCCUGAUGGAGGGGGAUAACUACUGGAAACGGUAGCUAAUACCGCAUACCAUCGGAUGUGCCCAGAUGGGAUGAGCUAGUAGGUGGGGUAAAGGCUCACCUAGGCGACGAUCACUAGCUGGUCUGAGAGGAUGACCAGCCACACUGGAACUGAGACACGGGCCAGACUCCUACGGGAGGCAGCAGUGGGGAAUAUUGCACAAUGGGCACAAGCCUGAUGCAGCCAUGCCGCGUGUAUGAAGAAGGCCUUCGGGUUGUAAAGUACUUUCAGCGGGGAGGCGUUACCCGCAGAAGAAGCACCGACUAACUCCGUGCCAGCAGCCGCGGUAAUUC
rnacentral:rRNA from 1 species